AACGAACGCUGGCGGCAGGCUUAACACAUGCAAGUCGAACGCCCCGCAAGGGGAGUGGCAGACGGGUGAGUAACGCGUGGGAACGUGCCCUUCGCUUCGGAAUAGCCCCGGGAAACUGGGAGUAAUACCGAAUACGCCGUAUUGGGAAAGAUUUAUCGGCGAAGGAUCGGCCCGCGUUAGAUUAGCUAGUUGGCGGUGUAAUGGACCACCAAGGCUACGAUCUAUAGCUGGUCUGAGAGGAUGAUCAGCCACACUGGGACUGAGACACGGCCCAGACUCCUACGGGAGGCAGCAGUGGGGAAUAUUGGACAAUGGGCGAAAGCCUGAUCCAGCAAUGCCGCGUGAGUGAUGAAGGCCUUAGGGUGUAAAGCUCUUUUACCCGGGAUGAUAAUGACAGUACCGGGAGAAUAAGCCCCGGCUAACUCCGUGCCAGCAGCCGCGGUAAU
rnacentral:rRNA from 1 species